rnacentral:tRNA from 1 species
GCUCCGGUGGUGUAGCCCGGUUAGCCCUUGACCGAGAGCAUAGCGGCCUUAUCAGCCGCCGAUCGCGGGUUCGAAUCCCGCCCGGAAGA